CUUUCGUUUCUCUUGUGUAUGGUCUAAGGAACAGAGUGCAGAUCGACCAACCUUCUGGAUUCCAACAAUGUCUGAUUGAAAGCGGUUAACAAUGAGUCUAUGACCUAUGCGGAGAAACAAAAUAGUUAAAUAGACUAUGAAAAACUUUGCUUUCAAUUAAUGAGAAGGAACAGUUGAAGAUGAAUAAUGGUAAAUGCCUCAACUGGUCUAUACAAAAGAUGCACUCGGCAUGAAGAAUAGACUUCAAAUUAAGCGUAACUGAGCAAAGGCCUGACAUUCACUCUCAGCAUAACGUACGAGUUCUACUGGAUCUCUAUCUAUCCCCCUGAAGAGUUUGUCGUUCUUAGCCUUCUAGAUAUACCAGAUUAUCCAAGGAUAAGAAUCUCUAUCCUGUUCAGAUUUUUGCAGAUCAUCAUCGUUCGUCAGAUCUAUGUUUCCGAAAUUCAGGUAUAAGUUUGAUUCUCCUCUUUGAACUGGUGGUAUACUCGAUGGUGUUCAUGUGAAGUAUGUUGCUUUCUCACGUGAGAGCUUCCAGAAGUUAUCAAAGAGUCAGAUUUUAACUAUGAGAUGUCAAGCAUGUGAUUCCACAAAGACUUUAAUUCAAUCAGGGUGCUUAAUGUGUAUGCAUUUGGAGGGAGCGGAGUGAUUAAUAAUGUGAAUCAUUCCAACCAGCGGUUCAGGAACUUCAGCUUAUGUACGCCAAAGAAGAUUGUUUCUUUUGAAUGUAUAAUUAUGUACAAAUUGUAAGAUUGUAAACAGCUUACUGGAUCUUACUUAGUGUAAAAAUUUUGGUUCCAAAAAAAGUUGUAUCUUCUCCAUCGUCCAUCCCUUCGUUAAAUCUUUCUUUAUGUAACAUUUAGGUAAACCCAAAUUUUCAUCCAUCAGUA